UGAAGAGUGGUUGGUGCAAAUGGAUUCACCAUCGAGAGAGCCGUUGAUAGAAGUGGGUUCCAAAAUACAUCAACGACUAGCUUGAAUGAACUAAUUGUCACCUAAAAUUCACAAGACGAAUGUGACAAGCACCAACCAAGCAACCCUAAUCAUCAAGCAAAGGGGACGUAGAACUUAAUCUUUUUCAUAGAUACACUAAUUCCUAGCCAUAUUUGACUAUAUGUAGUGUAGGGUAUGCCUUCUCUCUUGGGGUUGCCGCUGGAGAGCCAUAGUUUCAAAUGGAACCAGAUCAGCCAUGCUAGGAGGUGAACAGCUUUCGUCUGAUCAGCAAGAUACAGGAAGUUGCACAAAGCCUGUCCACAAAGUGCUCUAUCUUUUUGUAAUUGUUGCAUGGACUUACGAGACCCUGCUGUAAUUAGCCAUGGACAGCGA